GAUGAACGCUGGCGGCGUGCCUAAUGCAUGCCAGUCGAGCGAACGGACGAGAAGCUUUCUUCUCUGAUGUUAGCGGCGGACGGGUGAGUAACACGUGGAUAACCUACCUAUAAUACUGGGAUAACUUCGGGAAACCGGAGCUAAUACCGGAUAAUAUUUUGAACCGCAUGGUUCAAAAGUGAAAGACGGUCUUGCUGUCACUUAUAGAUGGAUCCGCGCUGCAUUAGCUAGUUGGUAAGGUAACGGCUUACCAAGGCAACGAUGCAUAGCCGACCUGAGAGGGUGAUCGGCCACACUGGAACUGAGACACGGUCCAGACUCCUACGGGAGGCAGCAGUAGGGAAUCUUCCGCAAUGGGCGAAAGCCUGAUGGAGCCACGCCGCGUGAGUGAUGAAGGUCUUCGGAUCGUAAAACUCUGUUAUUAGGGAAGAAAAUAUGUGUAAGUAACUGUGCACAUCUUGACGGUACCUAAUCAGAAAGCAACGGCUAACUACGUG
rnacentral:rRNA from 1 species